UACAGAGGGGGCAAGCGUUGUUCGGAAUUACUGGGCGUAAAGGGCGCGUAGGCGGCCUGGUAAGUCGGACGUGAAAUCCCCGGGCUCAACCCGGGAACUGCGUCCGAUACUGGCAGGCUUGAAUCCGGGAGAGGGAUGCGGAAUUCCAGGUGUAGCGGUGAAAUUCGUAGAUAUUCGCAAGAACACCAGUGGCGAAGGCGGCUUACUGGUCCGGUUCUGACGCUGAGGCGCGAAAGCGUGGGGAGCAAACAGG
rnacentral:rRNA from 1 species